rnacentral:tRNA from 1 species
GGAUAUAGCUUAGUUGGUAGAGUGCUUGUCUAUCAUGCACAAGGCCCUGGGUUCAAUCCCCAGCACCA